UACGUAGGGGGCAAGCGUUGUCUGGAUUUAUUGGGCGUUAAGAGCGUGUAGGCGGCCACACAGGUCAGCUGUGAAAACUCGAGGCUCAACCUCGAGACGUCGGUUGAAACCGUAUGGCUAGAGUCCGGAAGAGGAGAGUGGAAUUCCCGGUGUAGCGGUGAAAUGCGCAGAUAUCGGGAAGAACACCCGUGGCGAAGGCGGCUCUCUGGGACGGUACUGACGCUGAGACGCGAAAGCGUGGGGAGCGAACAGG
rnacentral:rRNA from 1 species